CUGGCGGGCACUGACCAGCGAGAGCCGGCGGCGGCGUUAAACCGCGGGCCCGCCAAAGCAACAAGGUUGGUACACAGAGGGUUGGA
rnacentral:rRNA from 1 species